rnacentral:rRNA from 1 species
GGCGUGCUAUACAUGCAAGUCGAGCGCUGGAAGCUAAUUUCAUCCCUUCGGGAUGAAAUUAGUGGAAAGAGCGGCGGACGGGUGAGUAACACGUGGGCAACCUACCUAUAAGACUGGGAUAACUCGCGGAAACGUGAGCUAAUACCGGAUAAUACUUUUUAUUGCAUAAUAAGGAGUUUGAAAGGCGGCGUAAGCUGUCACUUAUAGAUGGGCCCGCGGCGCAUUAGCUAGUUGGUGAGGUAAAGGCUCACCAAGGCAACGAUGCGUAGCCGACCUGAGAGGGUGAUCGGCCACACUGGGACUGAGACACGGCCCAGACUCCUACGGGAGGCAGCAGUAGGGAAUCUUCCGCAAUGGACGAAAGUCUGACGGAGCAACGCCGCGUGAGUGAAGAAGGUUUUCGGAUCGUAAAACUCUGUUGUUAGGGAAGAACAAGUCAGGUAGUAACUGACCUGACCUUGACGGUACCUAACCAGAAAGCCACGGCUAACUACGUGCCAGCAGCCGCGGUAAUACGUAGGUGGCAAGCGUUGUCCGGAUUUAUUGGGCGUAAAGCGCUCGCAGGCGGUCUUUUAAGUCUGAUGUGAAAGCCCACGGCUUAACCGUGGAGGGUCAUUGGAAACUGGAGGACUUGAGUGCAGAAGAGGAGAGUGGAAUUCCAUGUGUAGCGGUGAAAUGCGUAGAGAUAUGGAGGAACACCAGUGGCGAAGGCGACUCUCUGGUCUGUAACUGACGCUGAGGAGCGAAAGCGUGGGUAGCGAACAGGAUUAGAUACCCUGGUAGUCCACGCCGUAAACGAUGAGUGCUAGGUGUUAGGGGGUUUCCGCCCCUUAGUGCUGAAGUUAACGCAUUAAGCACUCCC